CUUCCGCUUCUAUCUUCUCUCCCGCUCCUAUAUAAUCCCUCCUCUUCUACUCGAUCGACGUCCCCGUCAUCACAUCACAGUUUGAAAACCUCCAAAGCGCGCGCGCUCAUCGGUCUGUCGGAGCUUCUUCGUGUGAACUUCGUGCGCCAUGGACGCCGCCGCCUCGCUGGACGCCGGUUUCGACUUCGACGACCUGGGUUUCCUGGACGGGCUGCUGGAGUGCUUCGACCUGGACCUACCGGCCGACUUCGGCGAUUCCUUUCUCGGCGAACCAGGCAAGGACGGCGGUCUGGGCCUGGAUCUGGGUUCUCCUGACGGCGGGAGGGAGAGCUCGCCGGAAUCCGUGGUGACGGACGACGGCGCGCCGUCCUCGGGAGAUCGCGAGGAGGACGACGGCGGGAUGUCGGCGUACGUGAGCGAUCUGGAGAGGUUCCUCAUGGAGGACAGCGUCGAUUACGAGGUCGGUGCACCACCGACAGCGGAGCACAAGGAGUUUGCUCCGGAUGAGUGCUUCUUAACCGAUUACUUUGUUGCAGACGACGGUUGCACAGAGCCGGCGGCCGGUGCCGGCGUCAACGACGCCGACACGACGGGAGUGGAGGACGAGCUGGAGCUUGCCGUCGACGACUACUUCCUGGACGACUACUACGUUGAGGACCAGGGCUACGCCAUGUCGGCCGCGGGUGACACUGUCGAUGAUGAUGAUAUGGGGUUGAAGGAGGAGGAGAUUGCGGGCGACGAGUACUGCUUCGAAGACUUGUUUGCUGCUGACGACGUCAACGGUUGCGCCGAGCCCGCGUCUGCUGCCGGCGUGUUGGAUGCGGCGUCCUCGUCGGAGGACGACGAUUUUGCCGCUCGCGAGGACGAAGCUUCCUCGAGGAAGCGCGCAAGGUACGAAUGAAUUGAAUCGGUUUCGUUCAUUCAUUCUGUGCUAAUUGCGAACUUUUAAAUCUUAGGAACCAAUCAGAUGUUAAUUACAAGUGCUAAUCCAAUUGGAGAAAUGGAACAAUCUGUAAAUAUAUAUAAUUAGAUAUAAGUAGUACUAGUGCUCUGUUUAAUACGACGUGGAAAUUCGUCAAAGUUUAUGUCCUCCAUGUCUGUUCUUGUUUCGUAAAUCCCACCGUGUUAUGAUCGAUCCUCUAGAAGAAGGGGUUGCUUAUUUGAAACUGUCAGCGUGCAUCUAUUUAUGCUCUUUUUUUCUUGGGGAUCUAUUUAUGCUAUUGGAUUGGAUGAUACUCUACAAGCAUCCAAUUUAAUUUAUACAGUAUGUUGAUACUGUCAGCAUGAAUCUAUUUAUGACCUUGGAUUGGAUGAUAUAUAAGCACCCAAUUUGAUUAUAUCUGUUGAUAAUGAUAUUCAUCAUCCAUACCCUGAGGCAGAGGAGGGGCGUCGCCCCUUCACCAUGCGAAGCAGAGCUCGGGGUAACCAGAUGGCGUUGCACCUCGGUGGAAUUACAAGGAUGCCGCCGCCUUGGCCAUCAGUACCACCGGCUGCCUUCCUCCGGUGUAUGCGGCAGCGCGUGGCUCUCGAUUUGAUCGAUCCUCACCUGCAGCUUCCAUCGUCUUGAAGGAACCAAAUUGCUCUCGCCGCAUGGUGCCUAUCUCAGGUAUUCAAACUGGUAGGUUGAAAGUCCAGAGGAAUACUACGGCAUAUUUCCGUGUUCUUUACCAUUUUAGUUUACCUUCCAGCUGGCUGGACCAGGCCAAGCUUGGGGCCUACAGAAAACUUACUGCUCCAAAGCCUUUGGCCAUGUCAGAAAAUCACCUAAAACGAAUUUCACGUAAAGCGGCCUGAGAAAUCCCCUUCUUCACCAGUCUACAAAAUUAAUUUGACGUGAAACUCUGAACUUUGCUUUAAGAUUGGUAUUUUUUCUGAAACUUUGCAUUCAGAAUUCUAAGAAAUCUAUCCUGGAGAAGGUUUAGAGAAUGGAUUAGCCGUUUGGAGUAACUAGAUAUUCAGCAUGGAAGAAUUUAAAAGAUUUUUAAAGAAAAGUAAAAAAAAAAAAAGAUAUCGUGGGAAGUAGAAGAGAGCAAAUGAAUCACUGAGGUAGAGGGGAAUCUACAAAAAAAAAAUAGCACCCAGGAGAUAUGAACUAGAGGCUUCAAGAAAAUUCGUGUUCUCAUAAUUCUAUGAAGCCAAUAAAUAAAUAUUAUUCAUGAAAAAAUAGAAGAAACACAUCUAGAUUUGGAUAUUUUUAUGGAAUAUUCUAGAUACAAGAUACUCCCUCUGUUUUUAUAUACAAGGCCAUCAUUCAUUUUGAGCUAAAACUUUGACUAAUAUAUUUUGAUCAACAUAAUAUGAAUUAUAUAUCACCAAAAGUAUACUAUUGGAUUCAUAUUUAAAAGAUGUUUUCAACAUAUACUUUUUAUCAAUCAAAUUGUUAGUCAAAGUUUUGGUUCGGAAUACUUAGUGCCCUUAUAUAUGAUUUUUUUAAAUGGGGUACCCAGCCUCAACACGGAACGAUGCAUGUAGUCAUUUUGUUGCAUUAUUAAAUUGCUAAUUGCUAAUUCUUAGUUAGUCGACUCCUUAGACAUUGGAUUUGUCACCUGAUUUGUGCUAAUAUGAUAGUUGCAAGUGAGAUGCAACUGAGGUUUCCUUAGUUACAAAUGGGUUGCAACUAAGAUUUUCCUAGUUACACCUAGGCUGUAACUUACAAAAAAAAAAUAAGCUAUUGAAUUUGCUCCUGAGAUUCAUGCUGGCCUAUAAGUUACACAUGAGUUACAAGUCUAGAUGUGCCCUUACUAAAAUGCUAUGUCUAGGUCUCAAGUUAACUGAGUCUGGCUCACCUAAGAAAAGUGUAAGGUAAGGAGCACGAUUCGAUCUUCCUGCUCAUGAUUGAGACCACGUGGCUCGUAGUCGCACGGGGCUCUCUGCUCUACUUGCGGUGCUACAGGGAACUCAUCCUCAAGUACGACAUGGCCAGGCAUGGCCUCAGGAUGAUCCACCGACCUGAUGUGUUCCAAGCGAAUGCGUAUGGCGUUUCUGUGAAUGAUGGUGCAUUGUAUUAGGAGUUGCCGGAGGCCAGGAUUCGUGUCUCUACAUGUGGUCAAGGUAGGCAAGUGACAUCAGUGAUAAAGGAUGGGAUCAGAACAGGGUCAUCAACCUGCGCAAUCUGCUUCCAAUUGAAACUGGAACUUCCUUUACUACGAAGGUGGUAGGCUUUGCCGCAGAAACAAAUACCAUUUUCAUUAGCCUACCCAUUGGUGCAUUUGCAAUCGAUCUCCAAUCAGAGUGUGUGAAGAAGGUGUGUGAUUGGGAAAUCUCACACUCUGUUUCCAGUCUUCGGUUUCUACACUCCAGGUAUGAUGAGAUGUUUGCAACAUCCAACCUUUUGCUCUUCGUUCAAGUUUAUGUAGCUUUAUAGUCCAACCUAAAUAUAAGCAGUGAGUUGGUUGCCAUUAGUACAAAGUCCAUCUUUGUAUUAUUACUUGUAAGAACAUCAACAUGAUUUAAAUUGGAAACGCUGAUAGCUGGCCGUUAAUAAUGUAUUAAUAAUGUGGAUUCAUAUAGCUACUUAAUCCAAGCUAAGCAUUGGCUGGCCGUUAGUACAUAGGCCAUGCUUGUACUAUUAUUUGUAAUGAAGUCUCUAAAAUUGAAACUGGAAAUCCUGAUAAUUGAUUAAUUGUGAGGAAGUGACUCAAAAUUCCCCUUUUAUCAUAUCAUUUUCCUAAGCUCUAUUAUCUUACUUAUUAUAGUAAGCAAGAAACAGUUUCUCACGUUCUGAACAACAAGGUAUAUUAGGUUCAGAGGGAUUUUGGAAGGGGAUUCUCUGAAAAUGUGGUAGCAGUUGCAAACCUCUGCUGAUAUUGCCUUGAGUUAUAAGCUAAAUCAAGUGAUUUGGAGCUUAAAUCCUAGUAUGGGUUGCUCGAAGAGAUCUUGCUUUGUCGUUUCAAAACCUCUACGGUUUCCUAUUCUUCACAGGGAAGUUUGGAGAAUUGGAUUACUUCUGAAUAUUACUUUAACCUUGAAAUGGAAAUAACUGUCAGUUUUAUGGGUAAAUCUGCAAACAUAGAGCGUAGUUUCUAAGAUUUUAGUUGUCCAAAUACGUUUGUAAUGUGGCAUCUUGCUCGUUUGGCCUACAAAGCAUUCCUAGCAGCUAGCUACAUGGAAACGGGGUUUUCAGUUUCAGAAUCUGGUCGCAGCUGGAAUAGCUGCUGCAACAUGGGCUAUUUGGGAGGCAUCUUCCUUCAGAAAUGUUGUUAUGUGUCAUCUUAAUGCGCGAAUAUACGAAGUCUGCUAUUGGUUUGAUGCUUGGUGUUUGUUGUUGAAGCAGGAAGACAGAACCAGAUGACAGCACGAAGGUUACAUCAGGUAGCCAGGUAGUUGUUUGACAGAGCGAAGUGCUGCCGAGUCAAAUGCCAUGGACUGGAGGCAGGUUAACCGAAAGGCGUGGUCGCUGCUUGGUACUUGUUGGAUGCAUUGUGUGUUUGCUGUAAUGUACUUGUAAGUCUUGUAAGUCGUUUGAGUCAGUUUGUAAGAGAGGUAGGCGUAAUGGUUGAGGGUUUCUAAACCUUGUUAGUACCUGAACUCUUUAAUCUGCUAAUGAAGGUUCAUUAUGUUUCUCUAAA